rnacentral:lncRNA from 1 species
CGGCAGUGCGGGCGUGAGUCCAGCCAGUCAAAAUCGCGGCUCCGAGAACACGUAAUCAAUUCAGUGUGUGCUUAUCAGCUAGGCUAGCUAGGUUGGGUCUGGGCUGAUCGUGUGGUCUCGUUGUCCACAGGCCUCUUCAGCGCAGUUGCUGCAUGGACACCCAUCGAAUUUCAAACAGCAUUGGUUCCUUCAUGACUCCAGGU